rnacentral:rRNA from 2 species
UAGUGUUGUUGGGUAGGGGAGCGUUCUGUAAGCCGUUGAAGGUGUCCUGUGAGGGGUGCUGGAGGUAUCAGAAGUGCGAAUGCUGACAUAAGUAACGAUAAAGCGGGUGAAAAGCCCGCUCGCCGGAAGACCAAGGGUUCCUGUCCAACGUUAAUCGGGGCAGGGUGAGUCGACCCCUAAGGCGAGGCCGAAAGGCGUAGUCGAUGGGAAACGGGUUAAUAUUCCCGUACUUGGUGUUACUGCGAAGGGGGGACGGAGAAGGCUAUGUUGGCCGGGCGACGGUUGUCCCGGUUUAAGCGUGUAGGUGUGUGUUCCAGGUAAAUCCGGUUCACUUUAACACUGAGGCGUGAUGACGAGGCACCACGGUGCUGAAGCAACAAAUGCCCUGCUUCCAGGAAAAGCCUCUAAGCAUCAGGUAACAUCAAAUCGUACCCCAAACCGACACAGGUGGUCAGGUAGAGAAUACCAAGGCGCUUGAGAGAACUCGGGUGAAGGAACUAGGCAAAAUGGUGCCGUAACUUCGGGAGAAGGCACGCUGACACGUAGGUGAAGUGAUUUACUCAUGGAGCUGAAGUCAGUCGAAGAUACCAGCUGGCUGCAACUGUUUAUUAAAAACACAGCACUGUGCAAACACGAAAGUGGACGUAUACGGUGUGACGCCUGCCCGGUGCCGGAAGGUUAAUUGAUGGGGUCAGCGCAAGCGAAGCUCCUGAUCGAAGCCCCGGUAAACGGCGGCCGUAACUAUAACGGUCCUAAGGUAGCGAAAUUCCUUGUCGGGUAAGUUCCGACCUGCACGAAUGGCGUAAUGAUGGCCAGGCUGUCUCCACCCGAGACUCAGUGAAAUUGAACUCGCUGUGAAGAUGCAGUGUACCCGCGGCAAGACGGAAAGACCCCGUGAACCUUUACUAUAGCUUGACACUGAACAUUGAGCCUUGAUGUGUAGGAUAGGUGGGAGGCUUUGAAGCGUGGACGCCAGUCUGCGUGGAGCCGACCUUGAAAUACCACCCUUUAAUGUUUGAUGUUCUAACGUGGACCCGUAAUCCGGGUUGCGGACAGUGUCUGGUGGGUAGUUUGACUGGGGCGGUCUCCUCCUAAAGAGUAACGGAGGAGCACGAAGGUUGGCUAAUCCUGGUCGGACAUCAGGAGGUUAGUGCAAUGGCAUAAGCCAGCUUGACUGCGAGCGUGACGGCGCGAGCAGGUGCGAAAGCAGGUCAUAGUGAUCCGGUGGUUCUGAAUGGAAGGGCCAUCGCUCAACGGAUAAAAGGUACUCCGGGGAUAACAGGCUGAUACCGCCCAAGAGUUCAUAUCGACGGCGGUGUUUGGCACCUCGAUGUCGGCUCAUCACAUCCUGGGGCUGAAGUAGGUCCCAAGGGUAUGGCUGUUCGCCAUUUAAAGUGGUACGCGAGCUGGGUUUAGAACGUCGUG